UGGUGACCAGCGCACGGGUGAGUAACACGUAUCCAACCUGCCGAUGACUCGGGGAUAGCCUUUCGAAAGAAAGAUUAAUACCCGAUGGCAUAGUUCUUCCGCAUGGUAGAACUAUUAAAGAAUUUCGGUCAUCGAUGGGGAUGCGUUCCAUUAGCUUGUUGGCGGGGUAACGGCCCACCAAGGCAUCGAUGGAUAGGGGUUCUGAGAGGAAGGUCCCCCACAUUGGAACUGAGACACGGUCCAAACUCCUACGGAAGGCAGCAG
rnacentral:rRNA from 1 species